rnacentral:rRNA from 1 species
AUGAACGCUAGCUACAGGCUUAACACAUGCAAGUCGAGGGGCAGCAUUUUUAUAGCAAUAUAAAAGAUGGCGACCGGCGCACGGGUGAGUAACACGUAUCCAACCUGCCGAUAACUCGGGGAUAACCCUUCGAAAGAAGGCCUAAUACCCGAUGGCAUAUCCCUUCCGCCUGGUGGGGAUAUUAAAGAACUUCGGUUAUCGAUGGGGAUGCGUUCCAUUAGCUUGUUGGCGGGGUAACGGCCCACCAAGGCUUCGAUGGAUAGGGGUUCUGAGAGGAAGGUCCCCCACAUUGGAACUGAGACACGGUCCAAACUCCUACGGGAGGCAGCAGUGAGGAAUAUUGGUCAAUGGACGAGAGUCUGAACCAGCCAAGUAGCGUGAAGGAUGAAGGUCCUAUGGAUUGUAAACUUCUUUUAUACGGGAAUAAAGUGCAGUAUGCAUACUGUUUUGUAUGUACCGUAUGAAUAAGGAUCGGCUAACUCCGUGCCAGCAGCCGCGGUAAUACGGAGGAUCCGAGCGUUAUCCGGAUUUAUUGGGUUUAAAGGGAGCGUAGGCGGAUGCUUAAGUCAGUUGUGAAAGUUUGCGGCUCAACCGUAAAAUUGCAGUUGAUACUGGGCGUCUUGAGUACAGUAGAGGCAGGCGGAAUUCGUGGUGUAGCGGUGAAAUGCUUAGAUAUCACGAAGAACUCCGAUUGCGAAGGCAGCCUGCUGGACUGUCACUGACGCUGAUGCUCGAAAGUGUGGGUAUCAAACAGGAUUAGAUACCCUGGUAGUCCACACAGUAAACGAUGAAUACUCGCUGUUGGCGAUACACAGUCAGCGGCCAAGCGAAAGCGUUAAGUAUUCCACCUGGGGAGUACGCCGGCAACGGUGAAACUCAAAGGAAUUGACGGGGGCCCGCACAAGCGGAGGAACAUGUGGUUUAAUUCGAUGAUACGCGAGGAACCUUACCCGGGUUUGAACGUAGUCAGACCGACCUUGAAAGAGGUCUUCUAGCAAUAGCUGAUUACGAGGUGCUGCAUGGUUGUCGUCAGCUCGUGCCGUGAGGUGUCGGCUUAAGUGCCAUAACGAGCGCAACCCUUAUCGAUAGUUACCAUCAGGUGAUGCUGGGGACUCUGUCGAGACUGCCGUCGUAAGAUGCGAGGAAGGUGGGGAUGACGUCAAAUCAGCACGGCCCUUACGUCCGGGGCCACACACGUGUUACAAUGGGGGGUACAGAAGGCCGCUACACAGCGAUGUGAUGCCAAUCCCCAAAACCCCUCUCAGUUCGGAUUGGAGUCUGCAACCCGACUCCAUGAAGCUGGAUUCGCUAGUAAUCGCGCAUCAGCCACGGCGCGGUGAAUACGUUCCCGGGCCUUGUACACACCGCCCGUCAAGCCAUGAAAGCCGGGGGUACCUGAAGUGCGUAACCGCGAGGAGCGCCCUAGGGUAAAACUGGUGAUUGGGGCU